CUGCUCCUAGUACGAGAGGACCGGAGUGGACGCAUCACUGGUGUUCGGGUUGUCAUGCCAAUGGCACUGCCCGGUAGCUAAAUGCGGAAGAGAUAAGUGCUGAAAGCAUCUAAGCACGAAACUUGCCCCGAGAUGAGUUCUCCCUGACUCCUUGAGAGUCCUGAAGGAACGUUGAAGACGACGACGUUGAUAGGCCGGGUGUGUAAGCGCAGCGAUGCGUUGAGCUAACCGGUACUAAUGAACCGUGAGGCUUAACCUU
rnacentral:rRNA from 1 species